GGAACCCCUCCUCUCAGGGAUGCUACGGAAAAUGCCAAAUCUCCUAAUUACCCGCCCGGAUUCUCGGCUCAAUGGCAUCGACGGUCCUCACCUCGUGUCGAACAGUCCGAAGUCCGUGCAGAUGCCUUCCAGGGAUUGCCGCCCGGAGCGAUUCCGGCCUUCCUUCACAACCUACAGAAUUCGGCGGGGUAUAACAUCGCAAAACCGAUAGCCAGACCCGCGGCCUAUCAUCCCCAUCAUCCCGCCCACCCUGCCCAUCAUCCGGGCCAACAUCAGCUGCCCCCAAACGCCCAUCACACGCUGCAUCAGUUGCUGGCUUGCAGAGGACCUUACCUAA
rnacentral:misc_RNA from 1 species